CAGCAGCCGCGGUAAUACGUAGGUGGCAAGCGUUGUCCGGAAUUAUUGGGCGUAAAGGGCUCGCAGGCGGUUUCUUAAGUCUGAUGUGAAAGCCCCCGGCUCAACCGGGGAGGGUCAUUGGAAACUGGGAAACUUGAGUGCAGAAGAGGAGAGUGGAAUUCCACGUGUAGCGGUGAAAUGCGUAAAAAUGUGGAGGAACACCAGUGGCGAAGGCGACUCUCUGGUCUGUAACUGACGCUGAGGAGCGAAAGCGUGGGGAGCGAACAGGAUUAGAUACCCGCGUAGUCCCUGUCUCUUAUAA
rnacentral:rRNA from 1 species